rnacentral:rRNA from 1 species
ACACUCCUACGGGAGGCAGCAGUGGGGAAUUUUGGACAAUGGGCGAAAGCCUGAUCCAGCAAUGCCGCGUGAGUGAAGAAGGCCUUCGGGUUGUAAAGCUCUUUUGUCAGGGAAGAAACGGUGAAAGCUAAUAUCUUUUGCUAAUGACGGUACCUGAAGAAUAAGCACCGGCUAACUACGUGCCAGCAGCCGCGGUAAUACGUAGGGUGCAAGCGUUAAUCGGAAUUACUGGGCGUAAAGCGUGCGCAGGCGGUUUUGUAAGUCUGAUGUGAAAUCCCCGGGCUCAACCUGGGAAUUGCAUUGGAGACUGCAAGGCUAGAAUCUGGCAGAGGGGGGUAGAAUUCCACGUGUAGCAGUGAAAUGCGUAGAUAUGUGGAGGAACACCGAUGGCGAAGGCAGCCCCCUGGGUCAAGAUUGACGCUCAUGCACGAAAGCGUGGGGAGCAAACAGGAUUAGAUACCCUUGUAGUCCCAU